UGAUCAAUGGAUUGUUAAAAAUCACACAUAUGUGGCUUUGGUACGUCGAUACGACAGUAAGAAAGUUCAUGAUCAUUUGUCGGAUCCUGAAAAUAGAGUUUAAACGGGUUUGAUGAAGAAGUGAGCAGCAGGAACUGGAAAUGACAUUUUCUGGAGUUACUCAGAGACCAAACAGAAACCAAACAGAAGGACAACUCUUCAGUGAUCCAAUUCCUCCUGAGGUAAUGUCAUGUUUUCAAUGACCUCAUUAUGUCUUCAUGUUAUAAAUAACCUCCAUCUACCACAUGCUGUUCCUGUUGCUAGGUGACAUCAAACACUCUUUGUUUUCUUAUCUGCAGGCCGGUUGGUUUAUUAUCUCGUUCUGCAGGUGUCAGCAGGGGUGGACUGGGGCAAAAAAUCAGCCCUGGCAUUUUAGGCCCGGACCGGCUCACAACAUUAUCAGUUGACUGAAUCAAGCACUGAUUUUUGAAUGCAAGGACAAAAACUGACAGAAAGGUCGGAUUUCAGAACAAAAAUUCAAAAACAUCUUUAGAGACCGAUACAAACUUGUUGACAAAUUUGUAUAAAAAAAAAAAAAAUGCAAUCCAGUAGAGCAGGGGUAUUCAACUAAAAUUCAAAGAGGUCCAGUCAGAGAAAAUGUAUUAAAGCCAGUCCAGAACAUCAUAAAGUCUAACUUGAAUUAGUGUGAUAUAUGUUGAUGUAACCUUUUAGUUUCAUUAGUGUCUGCAUGUAAUCAAUAACUGACAUCAAAUCAAACAAAAUUCAGUACGGUUCAGAAACAUUUUGACAACUUUUAUUAAUAAAUAAAUUUUGAUAUAGGUGUACAUCUUGAAAUAAAGUCCAGAACAUCAUAAAGUCUUACUUGAAUUAGUGUGAUAUAUGUUGAUGUAACCUUUUAGUUUCAUUAGUGUCUGCAUGUAAUCAAUAACUGACAUCAAAUCAAACAAAAUUCAGUACGGUUCAGAAACAUUUUGACAACUUUUAUUAAUAAAUAAAUUUUGAUAUAAGUGUACAUCUUGAAAUAAAGUGCAGAACUUCAAAAAAUAAUGACUGAACAACCUGAACCAACUUACAUCUUUAACAAUUCCUAAAUCUCAAAAAAUGUAAACAAUUCGAUUCGUUUAGUUUAUUUCCUGUCUUCCAUCAGUCCCCUUAUAUCCCUGCUGCUUAUAAUGAGGGAACUGAGCUGCAGCUUGUCCUGCCAGUGUUUUGAAUCGUGGUCUGAAUGGUGUCAGGGUCAAGACAUCUGGGGCUCAUUGGUGAGUCUGGUACGAUAUUUAGUUUGGGUUAUGUUCAUAGCUGAAAAAGUUGCCUCACAGCUGCGUGUUUAGCCGAUCAUAGCCAGCAUGAGCAGCGAUACUUCCUUGUUGGUUUCCUCCUCUCGUCUGUCCCUCUCAGCUGUUUUCUGAACGCAGAGCUGUGAUGUUUAGCGGCUACGAUGCAGAGACUUCAUUGGCUGAGUAGCAUCACGUGGGAUGCUGAACUCGUACCUAAUUGGUCUGUGUGUUUCCUGAGCUGAUAACUAAAUGCUGUAAACACUGGAAAAGCUGCGCCGGGAUAAUAGAAGCGUGAAAUUUAAACUUCUGUUCCAGUUUACUGAUUCCAGGUCCGGGGGAACCUGUUGACCAGCCCCUACUAGACACCGACCCACCGGGACAGUGUCCGGUAUGCCGGAUGGCCAGUCCACCCCUGGGUGUCGGUGAUCUGUGCUGUAAAAAUAGAAAGAAGAAAAACACUGUAGACAAGAGACUAUGGAGGACUAAAAGUGCCAAAAUUAAAUAAAUAAAUACAUCAUUAAAUAAUUAAUUAAAUAUGUCAUUAAUUAAUUAAAAUUGGAAUUAAAUGUCAUUAAUUAAUUAAAAUUGGAAUUAAAUAUUUCAUUAAUUAAUUAAAAUUGGAAUGAAAUACUUAAAUGUGUUAUUAAAUAAAUAUAUCAUUAAAUAAUUAAAUAUGUCAUUAAUUAAUUAAAAUUGGCAUUAAAUAUGUCAUUAAUUAAUUAAAAUUGGAAUUAAAUACAUAAAUGUGUUAUUAAAUAUGUCAUUAAUUUAUUAAAAUAACAAUUAUUUUAAGUAAAAAACAUAUUUCAUUAUUUCACUAUUUAAUUAAUUAUUUCAUGGUCCUUGCGUUGCAGUGGAUCAUGAAUUUAUUUUAUCUGUCAACCUCGCCCGUCAAAGUCGGUGGGCGGAUCCUAACACCUGAUUGGUUACCCUGCACAUCAAGUCAAGGCAAAUCGAUUCCAGAUAAUGGAUUGACGCAGAGCUUGUGAACACAUUCCGAUACACUGGGUGGCGCUAUUCACCUCUACGUUGGUUUGGAUACUCAAUAAAACAAAACUUUAUUAGCAACCGCUAAAGACUCGGUCCUCUUUCCCAAAUGUUGAUACAUGCGGUGCAAGACAAAUUUUCCUUUAGCAUUUCCUUUAGCAUCUACUCGGGCGCGCCACGGCUCGUCUCGGUUUAGUUGUUUUUCCAUUACAUUGAGUACCACCUCAUCGUGGGUUGAGUCGUCAUAGCACGGUGGCCCGAAAGUCCCUUACCGUCAUUUUUGUGCGACACAAACGCAAUGCAACAAUGUACAUGGAGGCGAUAGUACACCUGCUGCUCGGUCUGUGGCUUUCUGUCAGAUUCAGAGUAACAGAAGAGUCGGAGAAAGCUGAGAGCGGCGAGUCGAAACACUCAGGAGACACACAGGAGAGUUUGGGAGGCGAUACAGCAGUAUCAAGCUGAAGACAAGAGGAUAUGAACGAGACGACAUAUAAGGAUGCUCUCUGAUGAGACUUCAUGGGAUUUACCUGAAGCAGCAGCACAUGAGCCUGCAGUGGCACAAGGUGUAGAGGAGGAGGACAGAGAUGUACAGGAUGCACUGAUGCACUACGUGUCAUGCAAAGUUAUUCUUCUUGUUAUACUUCUGUUUUUCUGUCCCCGGACCGCUAUUGUUUUCUUUAAUGCAAUUCUGACAAUAAACUUUUGUAGAUGUGUCUA